rnacentral:misc_RNA from 1 species
GAUGAAGAACGUAGCGAAAUGCGAUACGUAAUGUGAAUUGCAGAAUUCAGUGAAUCAUCGAAUCUUUGAACGCAUAUUGCGCUCUUUGGUAUUCCGAAGAGCAUGCUUGUUUGAGUAUCAGUAAACACCUCAACCUCUUCUUGAUUUUUCAAAAGGAGGGUGGACUUGAGCUAUCCCAACAACCUUUACCGGUCGGCGGGCGGCUUGAAAUGCAGGUGCAGCUGGACUUUUAUCUGAGCUAAAAGCAUAUCUAUUUAGUCCUCGUCAAACAGGAUUAUUACUUUUGAUGCAGCUAACAUAAAGGAUAAUUGUCCUCUUUGCUGACUGAUGCAGGAUUUUACGACACUUUAUGUGUUGUUCAACUCGAUCUCAAAUCAAGUAAGACUACCCGCUGAACUUAAGCAUAUCAAUAAGCGGAGGA